AGCGAACGCUGGCGGCAGGCCUAACACAUGCAAGCCGAGCGCCCCGCAAGGGGAGCGGCAGACGGGUGAGUAACACGUGGGAACGUACCCUUCGGUUCGGAAUAGCCCGGGGAAACUCGGAGUAAUACCGGAUACGUCCGUAAGGAGAAAGAUUUAUCGCCGAAGGAUCGGCCCGCGCCUGAUUAGCUUGUUGGUGAGGUAACGGCUCACCAAGGCUACGAUCAGUAGCUGGUCUGAGAGGAUGAUCAGCCACACUGGGACUGAGACACGGCCCAGACUCCUACGGGAGGCAGCAGUGGGGAAUAUUGGACAAUGGGCGCAAGCCUGAUCCAGCCAUGCCGCGUGAGUGAUGAAGGCCCUAGGGUUGUAAAGCUCUUUCGGCGGGAAGAUAAUGACGGUACCGCAGAAGAAGCCCCGGCAACUUCGUGCCAGCCG
rnacentral:rRNA from 1 species